rnacentral:rRNA from 1 species
GCACAACGCGAAGAACCUUACCAGGCCUUGACAUGCAGAGAACUUUCCAGAGAUGGAUUGGUGCCUUCGGGAACUCUGACACAGGUGCUGCAUGGCUGUCGUCAGCUCGUGUCGUGAGAUGUUGGGUUAAGUCCCGCAACGAGCGCAACCCUUGUCCUUAGUUGCCAGCACGUAAAGGUGGGAACUCUAAGGUGACUGCCGGUGACAAACCGGAGGAAGGUGGGGAUGGACGUCGAAAUCAUCAUGCCCCUUAUGACCUGGGCUACACACGUGCUACAAUGGAUGGUACAAAGGGCUGCAAGACCGCGAGGUCAAGCCAAUCCCAUAAAGCCAGUCGUAGUCCGGAUCGCAGUCUGCAACUCGACUGCGUGAAGUCGGAAUCGCUAGUAAUCGUGGAUCAGAAUGUCACGGUGAAUACGUUCCCGGGGUCUUGUACACACCGAGUCGU